GACAGAGGGUGCAAACGUUGCUCGGAAUUACUGGGCGUAAAGCGCGUGUAGGCGGGACGAUAAGUCAGGUGUGAAAUCCCUAGGCUCAACCUAGGAACUGCAUUUGAAACUGUCGGCCUUGAGUGAUGGAGAGGAUGGCGGAAUUCCUGGUGUAGAGGUGAAAUUCGUAGAUAUCAGGAGGAACACCGGUGGCGAAGGCGGCCAUCUGGAAAUCUACUGACGCUGAGACGCGAAAGCGUGGGGAGCAAACAGG
rnacentral:rRNA from 1 species